rnacentral:rRNA from 1 species
AGCGAACGCUGGCGGCAGGCCUAACACAUGCAAGUCGAACGAAGCCUUCGGGCUUAGUGGCGGACGGGUGAGUAACACGUGGGAACGUACCUUUUGGUUCGGAACAACUCAGGGAAACUUGAGCUAAUACCGGAUGAGCCCUUAGGGGGAAAGAUUUAUCGCCGAAAGAGCGGCCCGCGUUAGAUUAGCUAGUUGGUGAGGUAAAGGCUCACCAAGCCAACGAUCUAUAGCUGGUAUGAGAGGAUGAUCAGCCACACUGGGACUGAGACACGGCCCAGAAUCCUACGGGAGGCAGCAGUGGGGAAUCUUGCGCAAUGGGCGAAAGCCUGACGCAGCCAUGCCGCGUGAAUGAUGAAGGUCUUAGGAUUGUAAAAUUCUUUUACCAGGGACGAUAAUGACGGUACCUGGAGAAAAAGCCCCGGCUAACUUCGUGCCAGCAGCCGCGGUAAGAC